CUGGGUAAUGGAUUUUUUUGGUGUUGGUGUUUAAUUUGAUUCCAAAGAAGGUUGCAAGUAAUAUUCUGAGAUGAAGGAUUCGUCAUAGUUAAGAAAGGAAGCAAUUAGAACAGGAAAGUACCGCAGAAGCCUUUUCCAGGUCAGUAUGAAUAGCAACAGCAUUUCAGAGAGAGUGCUAACACAUCAUGCGGGGGAGAGACUGGGAGGCGGCAAAGAAUGCUACUGAGCUUGGAUUUUUGCAGCUAAAUGAAAAGUCUGGGCCAGGGAGAUGGAGGGCAGAUGGAGAGAUGCCAAAGAGAGGGCCGCUCUGUCUUUGAAGUGCAUUUUCAAAGGCUAGAAACCAAAUUUGAACUUGAUGCCUACCAGAUGUAAAAUGAAUGCAUCAAUACUAAAGCCAAGGAAACAGACGAAAACCGCACAGGUCCUGAUAGACAGCAUCCUGAACUGGUCUCACUGUCAACAGGUGACCCUCAGGUGACUACCCCAAGGCUGAAAUGGUAAAGGACAGCCUCCCCCAAUUUGUGCUACAUUAUGCAGGACUGAAAUAUAAAACGUUCACAUGGUGCCAGAGCACCAACAGGACUGUGGAUGGGAGCACUGCUUAAGUCAGAAGCCCUUUGCAGACGUGUCAAAAGAGAAGCCUGACACUGUCAGCCCGACUCCCCUCAACUCCGAGCUGCUGUGUACAGUUUUGCAGGACUCCUGUAACUUCUAGUGAAGAUGGAGACAGAUAUAGAGAGAAGCGGAAACAUGUGAUGACGCCUAAUGCUUCCUAAUGCUCCAUGACAAGCAGUUGUCAUUAAUGGGUGCAUACUGCUCCCACAGACUGUCACACAUGAGUAAGGCAUGGAAUCCUUUCUUGGAGAGGGAAGGAAAAUUGAAAAUCUGGCAGCCUGGUUGAGCAUUCCCUCAUGGAAACAUUGCUGUUGGUGAGAGCCGCUGCACCCUAGUGAAGAUGAGCUCCCAUCUACCACAGCCUUGCUCCCUUUGCCUCACAAACCACCCACGUCCUCACUGACAGGCCCCAUGACCUAUGCAGACAUUUCAGCCUUUGCAGCUACCCAGACAGACUGCACUUCGGAGUAACAUUUAAGAUCUUUCUAACUUUUCAUUGUUAUAUAAAUUUUCCUUCAUAUGUCAACAUCUCUGAAUGUGUGUUCAGAUGCAUUUAAUUACAGAGAGGCCAGUAGAUACAGCCCACAUUUCACUAAAAGUGUUAGAAUGUCUCUUCAACAAUGCAUAGGCAUGGUUAUUCCUCAAAUACAGCCAGCAAUGGAGAGGACAAACUUACUGUGUCUUUUUCUAACGGGUCACUGAUGGAUCUCCACUGUCGUCAUCUUUAAGUAAGUAGCAGCACCGAGCAGACGCUCAUACCUACCUAGGCGUUUCUGGGUUCUUUCUAAGGCACAUAUGCCCAUAAAUGACAAGCCUAUCCACUUCCAUUGCUUAGUUUCUUAGUGUCACACGUUUGACAAAUUAAUCAGGACUCUUUCUGCUGGGGAUAUUGACUCUGUUAUAUUAAUAAACUCUACAGUUUGCCAAAUAUAGACUGUAUCUGUCAGUGUGACAGUCACCAGCACUGGUCUUUUACUUUGUGAAUAUUCCUAAUGGAAAGUCCUAAAUGGAAAAAAAAUAUUUACUCACAUUGUUUUGUGCCUGUGUGCCCAUUCACGAAGGCACAGGUGCUUGCAGAGGCCAGAGGACAAGCUUGGGUAUUGUUCCUCAGGAACUGUCCAUUGUAUGUUUUGUUUAUUUUGAAAUGUAGUUUUAUAAUUACAUUUUGCCCUUUCUUGCUUCUUGAGACAGGAUUUCUUGAUGGCUUGGAGCUUGCUGAUUGGUCUGGGCUGACUGGCCCCUGGGCCCCAGGAUCUGCUGACUCCGCUUUCUCAGAGUUUGGAGUCUAAGUGCCACCACCACAUCUGACUUGAUUAUGUGGGUUCUAGACACUGGACUCAGGUCCCUGUGAGCACUUUAUUUACUGAAUCAUCUUUACAGUUUAUUUUAUCUUGAUGUAGUAUGCAUAUGCAUAUCUUUUUAUAAUGUACUAUUUGAGCCAUUCAGAACUUAAUUUAAACUGUGAUUUCAAGUGGUAUUUUUUGAACAUCAUUUAGCCAACGGUCUUCAUACUAUUUUGGAACAGUCAUCCUUAGCCCAUUUAUUUAUAGCCUUUAUUAUUGCACUAAAUUACCAUAAUUAUUUGUGCCUAUUUCUGUACUCUUUACUGAUUAAUUUGCUCUGACUUCAUGUUGUUUUAAUUGCUAUAGUUUUAUGGAUUAAUAUCUAGAACAACUAUUCUUUUCCCAAUAUUUUCCCAUGAUGUUCUUCCAAAACUUUAAUAGACAUUUUUAUAUUUUAUUUUUUUAAAUGAACAGACAGCCAAUCUUUCAAGGCAUCCUUCCUGCGCCGGCUUUCCUAGGUUUUACAUUGCAGUCAUACUUGUUUCAGAAAAGGCUGGCUCCUUUAUGCUGUGAAGCAGUUUAAUUAGCAUAGGGAAUUUUGUUUCUUCAAGGUUUAAGAGAAUUCAUCUGAAAAACCAGGGGCGCUUUUGGGUAGUAUGUCUAAAUGGCUUCUUAAAGUUUUCUUGCGAUCAUUGGUCAGUUUAAGGCUUCCAGUCGUAGGCCAUGACUUCAUUAUUUAAAAGAAACACUAUACGCUGCAUUACAAUAUGUAAUCUACAGUUAGGAAGACAGCACACAUUGAACCCACAUGAGAUAAUUUUUAAAAUAUCCAUUUUCUGAAUGCUUUAGAGGAAAUAUAGGAAAGGGGUUUGAUGGCAAUGACUGUUGGUGGUGGCAGUGUUUACAACCAUCCGUUCUGCCUUCCUACACACAUCCUCUGGAAUGUUUCCAUUCCCCAUUUGACCCACAUCUUUUCAGACUCCAUUCAGUCCUCAGCUCCUCUCUGCAGGCCUCUCUGUUCUUCUGCACACCAGUGCAGGAUGCAGCAGGACACUGAUCAUAAACCAGGUGUUCUUAUACUACUGUGAUGAUUUUUCUCAGUGUCUGUGCCCUUCACACGUCUGAACACAGAGUUUGAGUUUUACUCAUCUUCAUCUUCCUGUAUGUAGUAGUUUAGAUGUUCAGUAAGAGUUACUGAAUGCACAGAGCAAGGCCAUGGCCUUCCUGGAAGGGGGGAAAGAAGCAGGCAGAAAAACUACUUUUUGGUGGAAUUCCUUAGAUGGAGGAGCCAGGCAAGGGAAGCAGGAAGUGGCUUUAGGUUCUUUUGGACCUUCCACAGAACUGGAAGCAAAGUGUUCACAGCAGAGAAGCAGAAUGAGCACUCAUCAUGUACACUGGCCGCUGGACCCCUCACCUGGGAUGAGCACUCAUCAUGCGCACUGGCCGCUGGACGGGCAGGCAGGGAUGCACAGCCCUAGAGAACACCGAACUGCAUCACACAGCUCUGGGUUUUCACUGAUGUCCCAUGGGAUAGGGAGAAGUGUCCCCUCAGUAUCCACUAGGAUGCUGUGCCGCCUCUUUACUCUGUGAUCAUGCA